GAGGGAGAGGGAUUGCCUCUUUUGAGUAAGCUGGCUGGCCCACUCCCCAGGAAGAACAUCAGAUGGACCACAUGUUCUUAGCGCCCAGUGCCACCCACGUACUUUUCAAGGAGCCUUCUUCCUCAAGGGUUGGAUCCAGUAGCCUAGAGGCUGGACUUUCUUUGAGAUCUCUAGGAUCCUUUUGCCUCCAGGCAAACUACCUUAAUCCAAUCCACCAUCUUCACUGCUAAUGCAGCCGACCGAGAGCGCCCCCUCUAGGAGGACUCGAGGAACAGCAGCCAGUACAAAGCAGGAGCAGCCUUCAUCCAGAUGUUCACUAAAUGUGCUCAAGGGUCACACCUCCAGACACAAUGGGACUGUAGGGUCAGAGGACUGCCUGGGGGAUUCAGGCAGAGUUAAUAAAGUUGAUCUGGAAGGCAGGGGCAUGGAAGAGAAGAGAGCAAGGUCAUGCCUGCCUCUGGGAAAAGUAGUAUCUGUGUGAUUCACACGAUGCUUUUGGACACCCCAAAGCCUCCAACCAUUCCCAGCUUAACCUGGGACCUCGGCUUGACUUUGUCAGACCCUACAAAACACCAUCGUUUAGUCCUCUCUGUAAUUCUAGCCCUGACUCAGCCAGGCAAUCUGAACCUUAGUCACUAGUAUGGUGUCCAAGAUAACAUGCACUGGUUGCACAUGCCAAAUCACAUUUUAAAUGCUCAACAGCCAUGUGUGGCUAGUGACUACCAUGUUGGAAAAUACAGA